rnacentral:misc_RNA from 1 species
AACAUCGCGCACCUGCGGGAACCUGCGGAAGGAUCAUUAAUGAUUGGUGGCUGUUGCUGACUAGUGUUUCUAGUAUGUGCACGCCACACCUUCAAUCCCACUUACGCCUGUGCACCUUCUGUAAUAGAUCUAUGUGGAUACGGAGAUGUGAAAGUUUGCGCUCUCCUACUCUGUUGAAGCAGUCUACUACGUUUUUUUACACACACACAAUAGUCAUUGAAUGUAUUUUUUAUUCUUAUG